rnacentral:rRNA from 1 species
GUCGUAACAAGGUUUCCGUAGGUGAACCUGCGGAAGGAUCAUUAUCGAGUUUUGAACGGGUUGUCUGCUGGCUCGCGAGAGCAUGUGCACGCCUGUCUCAUCCACUCUCAACUUCUGUGCACUUUUCAUAGGCCGGCUUGUGGGUGCGUUCGCGCACUUGUAGGUGUCGGGCUUAUGCUUUAYUACAAACGAUUCAGUUUUAGAAUGUCAUACUUUGCUAUAACGCAAUUUAUAUACAACUUUCAGCAACGGAUCUCUUGGCUCUCGCAUCGAUGAAGAACGCAGCGAAAUGCGAUAAGUAAUGUGAAUUGCAGAAUUCAGUGAAUCAUCGAAUCUUUGAACGCACCUUGCGCUCCUUGGUAUUCCGAGGAGCAUGCCUGUUUGAGUCUCAUGGAAUUCUCAACCUUCRGCUUCAUUGAYGAAGGCUUGGACUUGGAGGUYGUGCCGGCUCUCGUAGUCGGCUCCUCUGAAAUGCAUUAGUGCGAACGUUACCAGCCGCUUCAGCGUGAUAAUUAUCUGCGUUGCUGUGGAGGGUAUYCUAGUGUCCGCGCUUCUAACCGUCUUCGGACAAAUUUCUGAACUCUGAGCUCAAAUCAGGUAGGACUA